AUGGAGGUUUUGGUGGUCAUUCCCGACUGGACGAUUCCGUAUGUCGCAUAUAUCUUGAGGAAAGAGCUUCCGGAGGAUGAGGAAGAGGCUCGACAGAUCGUCCGUCGAUCUAAGGCCUUUACCGUAAUCAAAGGACAAUUAUACAGAGAAAGCGCGACUGGAGUCGGUCAGAAGUGCAUAACACCAGAAGAAGGUCGAUUCAUCCUCAAUGAUAUUCACUCGGGGACUUGUGGUCAUCAUGCGUCCUCUCGGACCAUCGUGGCCAAAGCAUACCGAGCCGGAUUUUACUGGCCCAAGGCGAAUGAGAUGGCAAAAGAGAUAGUGGAUAAGUGCGAGGGAUGUCAGUUCUACUCGAAUAUGUCGCACAAGCCUGCGUCAGCUUUGAAGACCAUCCCACUCGUCUGGCCUUUUGCAGUCUGGGGGCUGGACAUGGUCGGUCCUUUGAGAACAGGACGAAGUGGCUUCACGCAUGUACUGGUGGCAGUCGACAAGUUCACCAAGUGGAUCGAGGCUAAACCAAUCAAGAGCCUUGACACCGGUACCGAUGUUAGCUUCAUCAGGGAACUAAUAUUCAGAUAUGGAGUCCCGCACAGCAUCAUUACGGAUAAUGGGUCGAACUUUGACUCAGAGGAAUUCAGAGCUUUCUGCGACUCCCAGGGCACACGGGUCGACUACGCAUCAGUCGCCCACCCGCAGUCGAAUGGACAAGCAGAGCGAGCUAAUGGACUGAUUCUUAAGGGAUUGAAGCCUCGACUGAUGCGUGAUCUCAAACACGCGGCUGGAGCUUGGGUCGACGAACUUCCCUCUGUACUCUGGGGACUGCGGACCACACCUAAUCGGUCGACCGGAAGAACUCCAUUCUUCUUGGUCUACGGAGCUGAAGCAGUCUUGCCGAGUGAUCUUCUCCAUAAUGCUCCCCGAGUUGAAAUAUACAACGAAGCAGAGGCUGAACAGGCGCGGCAGGACGCAGUCGACCUUUUAGAGGAAGAAAGGGAGAUGGCUCUGAUUCGGUCGACCAUCUACCAACAAGAUUUGCGCCGUUUCCACGCCAGAAAUGUGAGAGGUCGAGCCUUCCAGGAAGGGGAUUUGGUUCUCCGAGUGGAUCAGCACAAACCACACAAGCUUGCUCCUUCUUGGGAAGGCCCCUUCAUCAUCACCAAGGUCCUCCACAAUGGGGCGUACCGUCUUUACAACGUCGAGCAUAAUAUCGACGAGCCCCGAGCUUGGAACGCGGAGCUACUCCGCCCAUUCUACACUUAA
rnacentral:rRNA from 1 species